rnacentral:rRNA from 1 species
ACUACGGGAGGCUGCAGUGGGGGAUAUUGCACAAUGGGGGGAACCCUGAUGCAGCGACGCCGCGUGGGUGAAGAAGCGCCUCGGCGCGUAAAGCCCUGUCAGCAGGGAAGAAACUGACGGUACCUGAAGAAGAAGCCCCGGCUAACUACGUGCCAGCAGCCGCGGUAAUACGUAGGGGGCAAGCGUUAUCCGGAUUUACUGGGUGUAAAGGGGGCGCAGACGGCGAUGCAAGCCAGGAGUGAAAGCCCGGGGCCCAACCCCGGGACUGCUCUUGGAACUGCGUGGCUGGAGUGCAGGAGGGGCAGGCGGAAUUCCUGGUGUAGCGGUGAAAUGCGUAGAUAUCAGGAGGAACACCGGUGGCGAAGGCGGCCUGCUGGACUGCAACUGACGUUGAGGCCCGAAAGCGUGGGGAGCAAACAGGAUUAGAUACCCCAGUAGUC